rnacentral:rRNA from 1 species
CACGUAGGGUGCGAGCGUUGUCCGGAAUUAUUGGGCGUAAAGAGCGCGUAGGCGGUGUGUCGCGUCGGCCGUGAAAACCUGCAGCUUAACUGUGGGCGUGCGGUCGAUACGGGCAUCACUGGAGUUCGGCAGGGGAGACUGGAAUUCCUGGUGUAGCGGUGAAAUGCGCAGAUAUCAGGAGGAACACCGGUGGCGAAGGCGGGUCUCUGGGCCGAUACUGACGCUGAGGCGCGAAAGCGUGGGGAGCGAACAGG